rnacentral:lncRNA from 1 species
AAAGACUGGUCUGGUGAGAGUAAACUUGGACUUGACCAUGGCUGCUGUUAUUUGGGACUGUUGCCACAUCCACAGAAAUGCAUGGACCAUGAAAGAGUCUGGGUGGUGACACCAGCAGGUCACUAAGAGUGUCACCAGAUUGGAGGAACUAGAAGUGGGAAGCUGUGCCUUCAUUCUUCUUGGUCAAAGACCAAAGCAUUCGUGAAGUUGAGGGUGAAUGAAAGAGAAGUAAAAAGGAAAAGAAAGACAUGACGGCUAUACGUACGCUGGAGGAGAAAGUUUGUCAUAGAUAUGUAUACCCAGAGGCAGACACACCAGGGAAGGAAAGGGAGAGAGAAGAGAGGGGAACCAGCUGCAGCAGCCAGAGACCGAAGAUACAAAAAGCAUGCGUAACCAAAAGGCAAGCCACACGCCUUCCAGCCAGC